GAGUUUGAUCGUGGCUCAGAACGAACGCUGGCGGCAGGCUUAACACAUGCAAGUCGAACGCCCCGCAAGGGGAGUGGCAGACGGGUGAGUAACACGUGGGAACGUGCCCUAAGGUUUGGAAUAUUCCCGGGAAACUGGGAGCAAUACCAAAUGUGUCCGUAAGGAGAAAGAUUUAUCGCCUUAGGAUCGGCCCGCGUCAGAUUAGCUAGUUGGUGGGGUAAAAGCCUACCAAGGCGACGAUCUGUAGCUGGUCUGAGAGGACGACCAGCCACACUGGGACUGAGACACGGCCCAGACUCCUACGGGAGGCAGCAGUGGGGAAUCUUGGACAAUGGGCGAAAGCCUGAUCCAGCCAUGCCGCGUGGAUGAUGAAGGCCCUAGGGUUGUAAAAUCCUUUCGUUGGGGACGAUAAUGACGGCACCCAAAGAAGAAGCUCCGGCUAACUUCGUGCCAGCCGCCGCUGUAAU
rnacentral:rRNA from 1 species